AGAGUGGCAUUUUGUGUAGUGGAAUUGCAGAGAAACUUUCAUGGCAAUCAGCUGUUUAGCCGCAACAAAGGACAAGUUGACUAUUUCAGCAAA